UGGAGUCCAGGACCCUCAGGAGCCCUGCAGAAGAGCCAGACAGACAGACGGAUAGAAAGAAACCUUCUGGAAAUCCCUCCUUCAUACAUUUAAAACUACUUAGAGCGCAGGGUUAUGAACACACACGGUGGGAGAGUUUGCACAAGUUCAGUAUCAGGUUCAGAUGAGGAUGAAACUGAUCCAGAAUAUCCCAGCCAAAAGGAUGUGUCUCAUUUUCCAGGGAAUUUCCUCCUCUGUGGAGUGCAAGGAAGAGUGGCGGAGCGAUUUGAUAUGUGGGAUGUAUAGGAUAAAGCAGGCCAGAGGGGGUCAUUCACCAGGCUUACUUUACCAGUGUUUCCAGGAAAUGGACAUGGAUCCAUCCUGUGAGACCUCGACAGAGUGACCCAAACAUUA